GUGGGCCAAUGCUAUUAUUACUUAUAGUAUAUUUUAUUAUUUAUUAUUAUGUUAUUUGUUCAUAUUUUUAUUUUUUGAGUUAUAAGCCAUUCAAAGAUGUUAGAAGUAUACAGGGUUGACCAAACGAGGAAAAAGUUGUGCAAUUAGUAAGUCUAUAAAGAAUCUUAGCUAUGUCUUUAAACUCGAAAUAGCAACGAACCUACAAGGAAAAAAAGAAAAAAGUGCAUUUUAUUAAAUCACUUAUAUCUUGUUUAUUAGGAUGGGGGCUUAUCCGAAGACCAAGCCAGAAUGCCUCCUAGAGACCAAGAACUGCUUACACCAAAUCCCCUGUGAAUCUGAAGGGUCAUACAUUGACAAGACAAAGUGAACAUUGUAAUUCAAAAAAACAUCGAAAGAGGACCUGAAUAGGAGUUGCCAGAUCAGGAAUAGCAGAACACGCUUGGUUUAAUGGCUAUUAUGUCCUGUAUGAAAUUAUCAUUUGGAAUGUCUUUGUUAUAAUUUAACAUAGAAUGUCUUGUAUAUUACGAUAUUUUUAUUGUUUAUAAUUAUUUUAAAUAAGUUUAGGAUUUUAAUCGGAAAUCAUUAAAUAUAAUAAUCUUACUAUUUUUA